CGCAUUUGAAAAUGUGAAAUUGCUGUAGUUCUGGCUGGAAGUUUCAGGAAAAUGUUGCGUUCCAUAGUUUUCGGUCUGCUCAUCUGUGUGAGCCUACAUUUGGUGCUGGCUGAUAAUGUUGGCACUUCAGCUGCAGUGAAUCCAGCGCUCCAAUCCGCAAGCUCUUUUUUGCUUUCCGGCAAAACUGUUGGGCAUGUAAAACAUGGGCAUGGUCAAAGGCGCAAUGCUACAACAACCACCACCACAACAGCUGCUCCAACGACAUAGAUCUGAAUAGAGAAAUUCAAUAAUCAAAUAGUGAUAAAUAAGAAAAAUUUACUUUAGAAAAUUAUUUAAAUUAUUAUGUGUCAAAAUAUUUGAUAAAUGUCAAUAUAAAUUCUGUGCUAAUGACAA